UGAUCACCCUUAAUGCAAGUCUCUUACUAAAAACAUUAAUUCGAUGAUCAUUAUUAAAAAAAAAUAAAAGUGAUAAUCCCUGCAUCUUGUUAAUCAAGUUAGCAUUAUCGUUUUCUGGAAAAGAAAACUAUGUAAACCCUUUUGGGGAGGCAAUGUGGAGAAGAAGAACAGUCGGGGUCGGGGAUGAGCGUCAAGCAGCCCACUAGAUCAAGACGUCGUCUUUUUUCUUGCAUCUUGUGCUUGUUCGAGAUUCAUUACGACCCAAUACGAUCCCUGAAUCACUCGUCAAUCUUACUUGGGAUUGAGUUAUGUCGACGCGAUUUCUUCUCGAAAUCACAAGUAAUGAUUGACGAGUCCUUCAUGGGUCGUAUUCUCCAACAUCCAAAUCCAUUCUUUCUUUGCCUCGAUCUCGGUGGGAGUUGUAGCAGUUGCAGGUAAAGAUCAGAGUUCGUCUUUCUCGUUCUGGACUUGUGCAGUUUCCCAUUCGCGUGGAAUGAGUGCAUUGCCUUGUCUGGUUGCAUAAAGUGAACAUUUAAACGAAUGGGGAAAAAGAUUGGAUGAGUGAUGUAUUAAUUCACCAUGAAGGUGAUUGAGGUAUCUCUCAACACUUUGGCACGGAACUUUUAUAAUUUUGGCUCUCGUGUAAUUAUUUUUCCCCGGAUUGUAGCAUUCAUUUAGAGAAAUAAGGGAAUCACUUCCCCAAGUGCAGCAACUGGCCGGCCUCCUUCAUUUACAUCAGAUGAUGGCUUAUUUGGAAAUGGAGUGCUGCGUCACGGGCACAUACAUUUUAGUUCUGAAACCUAGUGAGCUCCUGUUAUGCAGUAAGCAAUUUAAAAUAAUAAGAACUGAGCAUGGAUAACGAGCAAAUUUUGAUUGUUUCAGUCCUGAAAAUCUUACUAGAACUCCUAAAAGAUAAAAUACUCUCCUUAGUGGAAGUUUGAUGAGAACUAACGCGUGGGAGCUCAAGACAGACUUGCUUUUAGCUAUGGACCUUGAGGGAAUGACUUUUGACUAGGUAGUGUCAUGGUAGGGUCGGAAGAAGAAGUCGACUUCCCAAAGAAGUUCUGAAACUUGGAGACCAAGUCUGCAAUUUUUCAGUUGAUAGCACUUUUUUUAAGGGUCGGAAGAAGAAGUGAACUUUCCAAAGAAGUUUUGGAACUUGGAGACCAAGUCUGAAAAUUUUCAGUUUAGAACAGUUUUUUCCUCCUUUCGGCAAUCCCUUGUGUCUUUAACAUUUUGUUUAUAUGCAAAUGCUUUCGAGGCUUGUGAUGGACUCAAAACAAGUAGGAAAAAUAUUAAGAAUUUUCUCUUCCCUCCCUCUGCCAUUUACCAUCACAGUCCUUGUUGAUCUUGAGCGGAGGUUAAGAUGUGGGACCCACUAAACAGUCCUGUGGAAAGCAGGGGUUUUAGCUCAUAGCAUCUCUAUUAUAAAUAAGCGUGGAGUAUAACUCCGGCAUGAAGUAAUCUGAAGCAAGUUAGCAUUGCUCUCUUCAAAUUUCCUUCUCUUUCCCUUAUAGUUAGAAUUUUUAUUUGUUUUAUAUUCUGAGAUGGAAAGUGCAAAAAUUUCAUUAGUCGAUCUUCCGGUGGGAUUCCGAUUCAGACCAACAGAGGAGGAACUUGUCAAUCAUUACCUGAAGUUGAAGAUACUCGGCAACAAAACGGUCGAGCUGAUAAUUCCUGAGGUUGAAGUCCAUCAGUUGCCACCUUGGGAUAUACCCAGCAAGAUAAAUGAACUAUCAAGUAUAAACUCAGAUGGUGAUGGAUGGUUCUUCUUCUGCCGUCUGCAAAAUAAGUACCCUCAAAGUAAACAGACUAGAAGAUCAAAUGAUUAUGAGUCGUGGAAGAAAACUGGUGGAACUCGCAAAAUCAGGACACGAGACAAAAAGAACAUAUUAGGUUUGAAGAAAAUUUUGGUUUUCAAAAAACAUCAGAGUCCC